CCACCACUCACCGUGGAGGAUCUUUUGAAGCAGAUCGAGUACCUGCUUCGAUCCAAGUGGGUGCCUUGCCUCGAGUUCAGCAAGGUUGGAUUCGUCUACCGUGAGAACCACAGGUCUCCCGGGUACUACGAUGGCAGGUAUUGGACCAUGUGGAAGCUGCCCAUGUUCGGCUGCACCGAUGCCACCCAGGUGCUCAAGGAGCUCGAGGAGGCCAAGAAGGCCUACCCCGAUGCCUUUGUCCGUAUCAUCGGCUUCGACAACGUCAGGCAGGUGCAGUUGAUUAGCUUCAUCGCCUACAAGCCCCCAGGUUGCGAGGAGUCUGGUGGCAACUAAGCUAAGAUCAAGCAUCGCGCUGGUGGAUUGCUGCCUAUAAUAAUAGUAUGCAGCUUUGUUUUGGGCUAUGUUGAUGAUAUAUCAAUAUAUAAUAUGCUAUAUAUUUUUAUUUUACAGUUUGGUUAUGUACCAUCUCAAUGGCCUCUGCUCUUAACACAUAUGUAAUAAUCUCUUCCCUCCCUCUCCGGCCGGUUUUAUUGUAAGAGUACUACAAUUAUCGUUGGGUGAGGAUAUGUGAAAACAAAGCUCCGGCUAUAUACACACAAGAUAUGUAUCUAGAGCAUAUCUGAUAAAUUCGUCGACAAUAAAAAAAAUGGAUGGUAUCACGUAAUUAUGUUUGUUUUUAAGUAUUUGUUUGCAAUGUUUGUUUCUAUGUUUAACCGAAUGUAUUGUGAAUAUAGGAUCUGACAUAAUUAUUUGUGUAAGUUAAUUAGUAAACGAAUGUAUUUCUUUUUGAGAGAACAAUGAUUUGAUCUUUUGUGCAACGGCUGAUAAGUCCUUAAAAAAAUGAAUAAAUCAAACAACAAUAAUUUAUCUCAGCACAGUACAUCUCAGUUCACCUGACUGAGCACGUUAGCAACGAGCACAGCAUAUUUUUCAUAUUUUGCUUGGGAAAACAAACAAAAGUUAGCAAUCAACGACACACGGCCAGGUUGGAUGGAUCGCCCGUCUCGUCCCCGUGGUCCAGAGGAUAAGGCUGAUAGCCAUGCCAGCCUGCCCGCCCGCAUCUUCACCGGCGAGCCGCAGCCACUCCUCCCCAAUCCUGUCGGUAACCAUCCAAAGCGGGAAAUUUAACUAUUUGCCACUCUUAUGACAUGGUAAUUAACGAUUUGCCACGUUCUGUCAAUAACACGUGGGCCCUCAUGUGUCUAUGACAUGUAGGUCUAGUGACAAAUCGUUAAGCACUAUUCGUAAGAGUGGCAAAUAGUUAAAAGCUCCAUCCAAAGCAACGGGCAUGGCUUACAUUUCUAAUCAUUUGAGAGGGUGUUUCCUUGUGUAUCUUUUUCUAAAUUCAAUACAAAUAGUUACUUCUUUAAAAUAUUAAAAAUAUAGAGUAUAGUGAUAUACAACACUCUAAAAAAAACAUCAAGUUUAAAUACAACGUACACAUUGAGAAUCAAAAGAAACGGAAGUCGAAUGUAAAUAGUACUCUUUUUUAUAUAUCAACUAUGAAUUGAAUUUGGAUAUAAAUAUAAAUGUUAUUAAAUUGUUUGAGAAUUUUUCUAUAACUAUUUGAAUGAUUUUUAGAAAAAAAAUUCCUCAAGCAAUGCUUGAGUUUAAGAUGGGGGUAUUCACUUAACCUUUACAAACCUCAUGUCCCUAGCUAGUAGUGUUUAGUGGGAAAAAGUUAGGGUAUUUAAGAUAGUUGGUUAAUAGAUUAGAAGUGGUGUGAGAUAGGAGUAAAAAGAAGUGGAUUUAUCUCUAUUAUUAUAAAAAUUGAAGAUGUUUUUGUCGAUACGUUGGUACGUUAUCCGUGCAUGAGUCGAUUUUUAAUUUUGUUCGCUUUUGGAAAUACAUAUCCGCAUUUGAGUCACUUCGCUCACUUUUAGAAAUACAUAAGGACUCGUAUAAGAUAUCUAUUUAAAAAAACCCGCAUGCUAACUUGAGAUGAUUAGACUCCUAAUGUAGCUCAUGAUUAUAUAUAUAUAUAUAUAUAUAUAUAUGUGUGUGUGUGUGUGUCCAAGCCAAUUAUCACAGUGAAUUUCAUCUUAACUAAACCAUAUAACAACAAUAAGAUUAAAAUAACCUUCGCCUGUUGUGAGGCACGGACAUUUUUUUCAUGUUGAGAAAAACGAUCGAGAGUGACGUAUUAGAUGUAGUUAAAUAUAUACAUAUGAGAUAUAUCUAUAUAUAUUAACUUUAUUUCAUAUUUUUUUUGGGUUUUCCGGAAAUGCUCAGGAUCGAUCCCAUUGGGUCUGCCCCUGCCCUUUGAGAUCGAAACAGUUCCAUAGUUGGCGUUAUAUAAGGUGCUGGAGCCUCAAAUUGAGACAUGCAAUCAUCCUCUCUUUAUUUCUACUGCUAAGCACAUAACUACUCUAGUACUAAUAAGCUAGCUAACUAAGGGUCUGUUAAGAUUGAUGCCAAGAGACAUGCAAUCAUCCUCUCUUUAUUUCUACUGCUAAGCACAUAACUACUCUAGUACUAAUAAGCUAGCUAACUAAGGGCCUGUUCAGAUUGAUGCCAAAAUAAGCCUUACCAAAAUUUAUCAAUGCCAAAAUUUUGAUAAAUUGACAAUAUUACCAAAAUUUUAGUAAGAUUGGCUUAAUAAUGUUGCCAAAAUUAUAUAAACAUUACUAAUAUUUAGUAACAAACUAAACGCAGUCACAUAAUUAUUAAUUUUACCAAAUAAUGAUAUGGUUGAAAAUGUCAUCAAUCUAAAAGGCCCUAGCUACGUAACUAUGGCUCCCAUUGUCAUAGCCUCCUUGGCCACCUCCGUGGCUCCAUUCCAGGGGCUCAAGUCCACCGCCGGCCUCCCAGUGAGCCGCCGCUCCACCAACUCAGGCUUCGGCGACAUCACCAACGGCGGAAGGAUCAAGUGCAUGCAGGUACCAUACGUCCUCAGCUUCUUCUUCAAAGUGAUCGUGUAGGAUCGAAUACAGAGAAGCCUAUUAAAGGUAGUGUAAAUCUCUAUCUUUGUUUAGCUUUUCGGUGACAUGCAAAACGUGAUAAACUAUUAGCAUAUAAAUAAUUAAGUAUUAAUUAUUAUAAACUUAAAAUAAAGUUUAUUUGAUUCUUUCAAGAAACUACUAUAUAAAAAUUAUUUUUGCAAAAAAAAAACAAACCAUUUAACCAUUUGAAAAACAUACUAACAGAAAAUAAAAAAAAGUUGAAGUUUGGAGUUGAAAAAAAAAGAAACGGCUAAAAGGGAUGAAUGUUAGAUAAAAUCAAAGAAAGUCAGACAGUCAAAAGUUUGAAAAACAAAAACUAACCCAACCUAAAAAUCCUAAAGAACAUUUCUGGCGGUCUGAGCGGACCCAUCGUACUAAAAACAUAGUUAUGUAAAAACAUGUUUUCUCUAAAACUAGCUAUUGGAUUAAAGCCAAAACUUGUUAUAAUAAAGUAGACAAACCAUAGAACAACUCCACUGGGUGAAUUUGCAAACCAAUCAAUGUUUAAGAGAAAACAUCCUCAAAAUGUCUGUUGCCUCAAAUUUUACCAAAUCUAAACAUAGCCUAAAAUUUAAGAAAAUUUGAAACCUUCCAUAUCUGAUCUAUGAAGUAUUAGAAAUGUUAUUAACUUAAACAAAAUUGCCGAAAAAUGAAGAAUCACAAAUUAAUGACAAGACGAAACAAAAUGUAAAACCUACACAACCGAAAAAGAUCAUCGACGCCUUGAUGAUUGAAUAUGAUCUUUAUUGUCAAGCAUUGUCCAUAAGGUGUAGCCACAACACCUCUCACAAAAUCUCUCAAAACCCUAACACAAUGAGCCCUAAUAUCUCGAAUGUCUCAAUUGUCUUUACCCUCAAGGCAUAUCCUCACUCUCUAUUUGUACCCAUGGAUGUGGUUGUUCAUAGCCACGAGCUCAACUAAAAAUAGGAAUCAUAAUAACAUAGGAAACCCCUCAAAUUAAGGUUACACUCAUCCUUUUACAAAUACGGACUCAAUUACAACUCAAACUUGGACACCUUCCAAACUUGACCCCUUUCCAUACACAUACAUAUCCUCAUGUAUCCUGCAUGAUCUCCUUUCGCUUGAGCAUCCUACAUAAUCUCCUAGAUUGUCUAGACCUCAACGUUUCCCAAGUUUACUCCCGAUUCAUCAGUGGGAAUACUCCCGUUGUUUUAAGCAACACCUACAUAUAGACAAUCAAGAAACUAUAUCCAAGUACAAGUUCUUUCCAACUUAACUCACAUUAACAUAAAUGUAGUUCAUAAUACACACAUGAAACAUCUAGAAGUCAUAAACAUUAAGCACCAAAUGCAAAACUCAAUUUUACCCCGAAACCGACUCCAACCAAGAAUACCCUGGACCACCUUUAGCAUUCCUCCAGUCGGUCCACCAUGUACUAGCUUGACCAUCAAGGUCGGUCCUCCAUGUAUAGGUCGGAACAUCUAGCCUUGUCCAGAACGCUUCGCUAAUUUAAACACUUCACCAAAGUCAAUUCAAACACUUGUACAACUAGUUGUUCAUCCUAAAACCUUAAAUCAGCACAAUGAUUACACGGAUCAAUCAAACUAACUGAUGUUCAAAAGUUCAGAGUGACCUGAUUCAAUUGUUUCCAUUUGUUUAGGUGUGGCCGGUUGAUGGCAAGAAGAAGUUCGAGACAUUGUCGUACCUACCGUUGCUCACCGCGGAAGACCUCCUAAAGCAAAUCGAGCACCUGCUCUAGUCUGAGUGGGUGCCUUGCCUCGAGUUUAGUGAUGUAGGGUUCAUCUAUUGUGGGAACCAUAGGUCUCCUGGGUACUAUGAUGGCAGGUACUGGACCAUAUGGAAACUGC
rnacentral:lncRNA from 1 species